rnacentral:ncRNA from 1 species
GAAUAAUGAAAAGAGUUAGGUGCCCUACGGGGCUUAAUAGGGAAGUCCGGUGAAAAGCCGGCACGGUCCCGCCACUGUAUUGGGGAGCAUGCCCAAGAUAUGCCGCUGAGAUGAAAUUUCUUGGAAGGUUUGGGUAAGCUAUGAACCAAAGUCAGAGAACUGCCUAGCUGACAGUCACCGU